rnacentral:rRNA from 1 species
GGAUAUAGCUGGUUUUCUGCGAAAUUUGUUUUAGCAAAUUAUUUAUUUUAUUAUUAGUAGGUAUAGCACUGAAUAUUUUUUUUUAAUUUCAAUAGAGGGAGUAUUAAUUUACUUAUCUAGAAUAUUUAAUCUCAGAAUGACUAAUAAGUUAGAUAAAUAAUCGGACUUUUUGCGAUAAGGUGUAAAGUCUAAAGGGAAACAGCCCAG